rnacentral:tRNA from 1 species
ACGGCGGUGCCGGGGUACGGCGUCGGCAUCGGCUGGCGGCCGGAGAUCGCGGGGUUCGUGGCCGCGCUGCCGGGCC